CAAUAGCGUAUAUUAACGUUGUUGCAGUUAAAAAGCUCGUAGUUGGAUUUCUGACAGGAGUGACCGGUCCGAGUCGCAAGACUCGUGUACUUUUGUGUCUUACUCUAGUCAUCCUUAUGGAGAUUGUGUUUCGGCAUUGAGUUGUCGGGCAUAGGACCCAUAUCGUUUACUGUGAAAAAAUUAGAGUGUUUAAAGCAGGCAAUUGCUGUGAAUACAUUAGCAUGGAAUAAUAAGAUAGGACUUUGGUGCUAUUUUGUUGGUUUGCCACCAAGGUAAUGAUUAAGAGGGACAGUUGGGGGUAUUCGUAUUUAAUUGUCAGAGGUGAAAUUCUUGGAUUUAUGAAAGACGAACUACUGCGAAAGCAUUUACCAAAGAUGUUUUCAUUAA
rnacentral:rRNA from 1 species